CCAGAAAUCACAGAUGAUGAACUUACUGACGGGCGGACAGAGACUCUGUGCUGAUUGUCAUGUUCUGAUUUGGCUCUGAGAGUU